GGGGAAUUUUCCGCAAUGGGCGAAAGCCUGACGGAGCAAUACCGCGUGAGGGAGGAAGGCUUUUGGGUUGUAAACCUCUUUUCUUAAGGAAGAAGAUCUGACGGUACUUAAGGAAUCAGCAUCGGCUAACUCCGUGCCAGCAGCCGCGGUAAUACGGAGGAUGCAAGCGUUAUCCGGAAUUAUUGGGCGUAAAGCGUCCGCAGGUGGCCUUUCAAGUCUGCUGUCAAAGACCAGAGCUCAACUCUGGGCAGGCGGUGGAAACUGGGAGGCUAGAGUACGGUAGGGGUAGAGGGAAUUCCCAGUGUAGCGGUGAAAUGCGUAGAGAUUGGGAAGAACACCAGUGGCGAAGGCGCUCUACUGGACCGAAACUGACACUCAGGGACGAAAGCUAGGGGAGCGAAAGGGAUUAGAUACCCCUGUAGUC
rnacentral:rRNA from 1 species